UUUGCUGCGUGAACUGUCAAAAUCUGUAAUAGUGUGUGUGUGUGAAGUGCAAACAAAAUAUUUCAAUUUGACAUUCGAAGCCGUUAGGCGAAACACUCCGCUCUCAAAAUAGGUAAGUACCUUACGAAGUAAUCCAUGUUUUCUUUCAACUUUUUGUACCAAUGUCAUCUACUAGUAGAACACAAAAAGAACACCGCCGACCGCCGAACUACUCCGAGGGACUGCGCUACAUUCUACAUACCUUACUUUGUAAAGAAGCUGAGAAGUAUGCCUGCUACCAAAUGUACAGACAUUCCAAACUCACCACGCCUUUGCGUAGGUAAGGGAGAUUCGGCAGGGGAAUGGUAAGGACCGCUAGGUGAAGUGCAAUGCCUUACCAGAAAUUAAAAAUUUUAAAGUAAAUCUGCUAAAAACAUCUGCUACCAAUGCGGACACUUCAGCAGAAGAUACACAAACCAGGAUAAACAUUUCAAAUCCAAAGAAAAUCCUCAUAAAAUGCAUUUAUACAUAUUCAGCUCUAUGCAAAUCGAAUUUUUCGCAAAUGAGGAAAACACUUUUUAAUGCAAUCAAAUCGUAAUGUCCUUUCGACGAACCAAAACACCGCUUUAAAUGUCAUUCAGUAGUGAAAAUGCAGAGAUGCCAUUUCCAUCAUAUCGUAUGAAUGGUUCGGAGUAUCUACAAGUUUUUGGGAAAAUCAGCUGCUACUUUACAUCCGCAAUUAAAUAUCUUCAACAAAGCUUCAUACUUCAGUACCUUAAGGCGAAAAUAGGUACGAGUAGGUUCACAAAAUAAUUGUUAAAUUGAAAGAAAAUUACGUUCCCCGAUUGGGUUGCUUGCGCACCUGAUGUUAGUCCCAUCGAGGAUCUCUGGGAAUGGACGGUCCAACAAUUUUACAAAAAUUUCCCACCAUAGGGAAAACUUGGGAUUCAAUAACUCUAAUAAAUGCAUAAUCUUGCCUAUCAUAAUAAAAUACAAUUUUCUGCUGCUUUUCGUUACUUUUUUCUAGCUUAUAAAAUAUGCGGUUAAAUCAAAAAAUUUAUUUCGCAAUACAAGUAAUUUUUAUGCUAAAACCACAACCAGUGAUGGACAAUUAGUGUGCAUUGUGUCAUAAUAAUAAUGUUAAUUUUCAAAGUUUUUAAAAUUUCCAAAUUCGUAAUGAAAGAGCAUGAAAAAUACUACUGAGAUCAAAAAACAUAAUGUGUAUAUGAAUUAUAUAUGGCGCCACAUUACCCAAAAUACUGAGUGUUCUUAUUUUCAGGGAAAAAACUUCUUACGACUUUCGAGGCAUUUUACCGGACAUUAAACCUAUUGGAAAAGAUUCUCCGUUUUAUCUAGUAACCACAAACAAAUUUUCAAAAAAAA